rnacentral:rRNA from 1 species
CCCGAAGGGCCGUCCUCUCGAGA